GACGAACGCUGGCGGCGUGCUUAACACAUGCAAGUCGAACGGAAAGGCCCUGCUUUUGUGGGGUUCUCGAGUGGCGAACGGGUGAGUAACACGUGAGUAACCUGCCCUUGACUUUGGGAUAACUUCAGGAAACUGGGGCUAAUACCGGAUAGGAGCUCCUGCUGCAUGGUGGGGGUUGGAAAGUUUCGGCGGUUGGGGAUGGACUCGCGGCUUAUCAGCUUGUUGGUGGGGUAGUGGCUUACCAAGGCUUUGACGGGUAGCCGGCCUGAGAGGGUGACCGGCCACAUUGGGACUGCGAUACGGCCCAGACUCCUACGGGAGGCAGCAGUGGGGAAUAUUGCACAAUGGGCGGAAGCCUGAUGCAGCAACGCCGCGUGCGGGAUGACGGCCUUCGGGUUGUAAACCGCUUUCGCCUGUGACGAAGCGUGAGUGACGGUAAUGGGUAAAGAAGCACCGGCUAACUACGUG
rnacentral:rRNA from 1 species